rnacentral:rRNA from 1 species
GAUGAACGCUGGCGGCGUGCCUAAUACAUGCAAGUCGAGCGAACGGACGAGAAGCUUGCUUCUCUGGUGUUAGCGGCGGACGGGUGAGUAACACGUGGAUAACCUACCUAUAAGACUGGGAUAACUUCGGGAAACCGGAGCUAAUACCGGAUAAUAUUUUCAACCGCAUGGUUCAAAAGUGAAAGACGGUCUUGCUGUCACUUAUAGAUGGAUCCGCGCUGCAUUAGCUAGUUGGUAAGGUAACGGCUUACCAAGGCAACGAUGCAUAGCCGACCUGAGAGGGUGAUCGGCCACACUGGAACUGAGACACGGUCCAGACUCCUACGGGAGGCAGCAGUAGGGAAUCUUCCGCAAUGGGCGGAAGCCUGACGGAGCAACGCCGCGUGAGUGAUGAAGGUCUUCGGAUCGUAAAGCUCUGUUAUUAGGGAAGAACAUAUGUGUAAGUAACUGUGCACAUCUUGACGGUACCUAAUCAGAAAGCCACGGCUAACUUCGUG